AAAUUGUUAGUAAUGGAAUUGCUCAAAAGUGACCUCUAGCUUCAAAAUGGGAGCUGACCUUUGGCUAGAAAUGUGUCAAGAGAAAUGAUAACAGAACAAAUUUGUAAAUUAGGUUUGUAUCUCCAUUUUGCAGGAAGGCAGACUUCAAAAUUGCACUACUUGCUGCCUGCCAGAUGGACUUUUUAAGUCCUCUGACGCUAAAGCCUCUGCUCCUAACUGUUAUUCUGCCCAUCAGAGCUGUUCCCGGAAGGCAGCCCCUGCCACGUGGUACAGAAGCAGACUUCCCAUUUGUGACCAGUGGAAAGCUGUGUCCAUUUCACUUCCCUCUUGAAGGAAGGGAGAGUGAAAGGCGGAAGAAGCAGAGGGAAGAAAUAAAGAGCUUUCAUCUCUAACUCUACCUGUAAGUUUAAGACCCCGACAACUUAGAUUCGGCUUUGCUGUUGGGUCCUCGUGUUUCUUUCUUAAGUCUCAGUGAGAGCUACAGAAUCUCACAAAGGUUCUUCAUCUGGACGGUGUCCCGGGGAGGGCCCCUGAGGAGCCCAGAACUGUAACCCCGGGAGGACCUCACUGCUGGAACUCCCAGGAAUGCCCGGGUAGGUACUGGUAAUCCUGAAGCCCUCACACCUAAGCCCUCACAGCAACACCUCAUUGGUUAAUGAAACCGAUGCGCUAAGUGUACAAAUAAAUGCUUGCGGUUUCACUACGCUAGUAACCGGUUUAGACAAAGACCCAGAAAACGUAUGAAAAUACACAACCUAGCCAUCCAGUCAGGAAGGAGGGUAGAUGUUGCCUGUGCCCUUUGCUCUGAUUGGGACUGGA